rfam:Gorilla gorilla gorilla genomic chromosome, chr10, whole genome shotgun sequence
GCCGGGCAUGGUAGUGUGUGCCUGUAAUCCCACCUACUUGGGAGGCUGAGGCAGGAGAAUUGCUUGAACCCAGGAGGUGGAGGUUGCAGUGAGCCAAGAUCAUGCCACUGCACUCCAGCCUGGGUGAUAGAGCGAGACUCUGUCUCAA